AUGGUGACAAACGGGAGAAGGGGGAGAGCUCUAGAAUGCAGCAAACGUGCCCAGGAGGGAGAGCUGGGAGCCCAGGGCCCAGCCAGCGUCCGGCCCUCCUUCUGCCGCCCCUGUCUGCGCUUUUGGACUUGGGUCUAUCCGGCUAGAAGACGGGGAGCACAUCUGCUGUCCUCGCUGCUCUGUAAGGUUGCUGUCAGCAGGAGCGAGGGGUUUUCCUGCCCUUUGAAGAAAACCAGGAUUAUCCACUGCCCUGAAGAGAGCACGAGGAGCCCAUGCUUCGUGCUGCUGCGGAUGAGUGAGCAGGGCCAUCCAACAGAACCGUCUGUGAUGAUGGAAACGUUUUAACCGCGCUGUGCAGCAUGUUAGCCACCAGCCGAGUGCUAUUGAGCACUUGAGAUGUGACCAGUGUGACUGAGGAACUAAAUUAUUUUAACAAAUUUCAACCACAAUUUUAUUAUUAUUAUUUUCAACCACAAUUUUAAAUAGCCCCAUGUGUCCAGUGGCCAGUAUAUUGAUUGAACAGCAUGGGUCUAGGGUUGUAUCCCUCAGUCGUUCUUUUCCUACUCACCCCAGGUCCCUUGGAAAUUUCUCUUGUAUAUAUGUGCAAGUGUGUAUGUAUGUGUAUAUGCGUGUGUGUGUGUGUGUGUGCACGCAGGGAAGUGACACAUGCAUUCAUGAGUGUAUGGGAAUGCUGCAGAGCUUCCCAUGGAUCUAGUUAAGACCCUUGACCCACAAAUACCACAGACUCAGAAUGAGGGAGCCUCUUACUACAUACGGAAAACCUUUUACCUUAAAAAAGCAGAAGACCGGGGAUCCCUGGGUGGCUCAGCGGUUUAGUGCCUGCCUUUGGCCCAGGGCGUGAUCCUGGAGUCCCGGGGUCGAGUCCCGCAUUGGGCUCCUGACGUGAAGCCUGCUUCUCCCUCUGCCUGUGUCUCUGCCUCUCUCUCUCUUUCUCUCUGUCUCUGUCUCUCAUGAAUGAAUAAAUAAAUCUUAAAAAAAAAAAAAAAAGCA
rnacentral:lncRNA from 12 species